GGCGCUAUAGUGUAGUGGUUAUCACUCGAGAUUCUGAUAUAGUUGUGACAAUAGAAGAUGGUUUACCAUUCUCGAAACCCAGGUUCGAAUCCUGGUAGCGCCU